GUACACACCGCCCGUCGCUCCUACCGAUUCCGAGUGAUUCGGUGAGCAUUUUGGACCUGCCACAAGCGGGAAAAUUAUGCGAACCAAAUCACUUAGAGGAAGGAGAAGUCGUAACAAGGUUUCCGUAGGUGAACCUGCAGAAGGAUCA
rnacentral:rRNA from 1 species